AAACCAACUGGGAUUACCUUAGUAACGGCGAGUGAAGCGGUAAAAAGCUCAAAUUUGAAAUCUGGUACUUUCAGUGCCCGAGUUGUAAUUUGUAGAAUUUGUCUUUGAUUAGGUCCUUGUCUAUGUUCCUUGGAACAGGACGUCAUAGAGGGUGAGAAUCCCGUUUGGGGAGGAUACCUUUUCUCUGUAAGACUUUUUCGAAGAGUCGAGUUGUUUGGGAAUGCAGCUCAAAGUGGGUGGUAAAUUCCAUCUAAAGCUAAAUAUUGGCGAGAGACCGAUAGCGAACAAGUACAGUGAUGGAAAGAUGAAAAGAACUUUGAAAAGAGAGUGAAAAAGUACGUGAAAUUGUUGAAAGGAAGGGCAUUUGAUCAGACAUGGUGUUUUUUGCAUGCACUCGCCUCUCGUGGGCUUGGGCCUCUCAAAAAAUUUCACUGGGCCAACAUCAAUUCUGGCAGCAGGAUAAAUCAUUAAGAAUGUAGCUACUUCGGUAGUGUUAUAGCUUUUUGGAAUACUGUUAAGCCGGGAUUGA
rnacentral:rRNA from 1 species